rnacentral:misc_RNA from 1 species
GGUUAAUUUAAUUUUAACAAAACAAAUAUCCAUAAUAAUAUAUUCGCUAAUUAAUACAAGGGAUCAUAUUGGUUCUACUUCUACUCAAGUUUCCUACUUUGAAGAUAAUUAAUUUCUUCAGUUAUCUACUCACUACCGACUUAUAUAAUCAUACUCGUAAAUUUAAGUACAAUACGAAAGUGAGAUCAAUCAGCUUGAUAGCGGUCUCUCACCUUGUUUGAUGCGUGUAGCCAACCACCUUAUUAAUCAGGAGGGAAAUUAAGUCUUUGAAUUCAUGUUCAUGGACCUUGGAAAAAGGGAAUUAGCACACGCUAAAGUGAAAGCCUCAGGUCUAACUCUUCUUUAGCCUCUUCUUUCUCUGGAACUUCAUUUCUCUUGGAAGUAUCAACCAUGGCAGCUCUAGGGUUUCUGGCUUCAGACUCUUCCAUGAAAUCUUCAGGUUGAAAACAUGGCUUCCAAACAGCAACCUGCACAUUCUCUUCCUCGAGUUUUCUUUUCUUUUUGUUACUGUCAGUCUCCUGCUUCAAAUAAUCUGAGCCAUUGAUCAGGCGAUCGCGAGCCUCGCGAAUGCUUCUGAUGAGAGCAAAGAACUUCUCAAUCUUUACUUCUUCAUUAUCUUCAUCGUCCUGAUCAUCAUGAAUUGGAAGUUUCCUCUUGCUUGGAGUCUCCAUGGCAGAGAGUCUAGUUUAUUGGUUAGUUGGAUGCAGGAUAGCAAGAAACCAAAGCUACGGUAUGGCAUGCACUUUCUAGGUUGCUUCCUUCUCUGCUUCUCGGAGUCCUUCAUUUAUAUAUUGU